rnacentral:rRNA from 1 species
CCUACGUGUGGCAGCAGUGAGGAAUAUUGGUCAAUGGGCGCAAGCCUGAACCAGCCAAGUAGCGUGAAGGAUGACUUACCUACGGGUUGUAAACUUCUUUUAUCAAGGAGUAAAGUGAGGCACGUGUGCCUUUUUGUAUGUAUUUUAUGAAUAAGGAUCGGCUAGCUCCAUGCCAGCAGCCGCGGUAAUACGGAGGAUACGAGCGUUAUCCGGAGUUAUUGGGUUUAAAGGGAGCUUAGAGGGGUUGUUACGUCAGUUGUGAAAGUUUGCGGCUCAACCGUAAAAUUGCAAUUGAUACUGGCAGCCUUGAGUACAGUAGAGGUAGGCGGAAUUCGUGGUGUAGCGGUGAAAUGCUUAGAUAUCACGAAGAACUCCGAUUGCGAAGGCAGCCUACUAAACUGCCACUGACAUUGAUGCUCGAAAGUGUGGGGAGCAAACAGGAUUAGAGACCCCGGUAGUC